UAUAACGAAACACCACAAACUGAACACCAUGAACAAACAGCAAAUCACCAUGGAUGGAUUUUAGAGAUGAAAUUGUAGAAGCAUACCCAUUUAAUUGAUAUGGCCAUUGAAGGAUGAAGAGUUGCAGAAAAUCGCAGGGUGUUCGAUGAUGAUGAUUUAAGUUAGUCAAAUCAUCAGGAAUUCCUCACCAUCCGAAUAUCCGAUAUCAACUAUAAGACCAAGAAUCAUGAAACACAGCAAUCAUCAAACAUUGAAUGAACCAAACCAUCAGUUACAUUUAUUGACUUUAUUCCGGCGAAGGGUUGCGACCCUUAAUUUUGGUUAAGCACCGCAUCCAUUAAAAAAAACAUUUAAUACAUUGAAUACCGGUGGACUAAUACGUUGAAUAGUUUUGUGAACCGUUAUUAUAACCAACUGAAC
rnacentral:lncRNA from 1 species